UACGUAGGGGGCUAGCGUUGUCCGGAUUUAUUGGGCGUAAAGAGCGUGUAGGCGGCCAGGUAGGUCCGGUGUGAAAACUCGAGGCUUAACCUCGAGAUGUCAUCGGAAACCAUCUGGCUAGAGUCCGGAAGAGGAGAGUGGAAUUCCUGGUGUAGCGGUGAAAUGCGCAGAUAUCAGGAAGAACACCAAUGGCGAAAGCAGCUCUCUGGGACGGUACUGACGCUGAGACGCGCAAGCGUGGGGAGCGAACAGG
rnacentral:rRNA from 1 species